rnacentral:rRNA from 1 species
AACGAACGCUGGCGGCAGGCUUAACACAUGCAAGUCGAGCGCCCCGCAAGGGGAGCGGCCGACGGGUGAGUAACGCGUGGGAACGUACCCUUAUCUUCGGGAUCGCUCCGGGAAACUGGAAUUAAUACCGAAUGUGCCCUUUGGGGGAAAGAUUUAUCGGAUAAGGAUCGGCCCGCGUUGGAUUAGCUAGUUGGUGGGGUAAAGGCCUACCAAGGCGACGAUCCAUAGCUGGUCUGAGAGGAUGAUCAGCCACAUUGGGACUGAGACACGGCCCAAACUCCUACGGGAGGCAGCAGUGGGGAAUAUUGGACAAUGGGCGCAAGCCUGAUCCAGCCAUGCCGCGUGAGUGAUGAAGGCCUUAGGGUUGUAAAGCUCUUUCACCGGAGAAGAUAAUGACGGUAUCCGGAGAAGAAGCCCCGGCUAACUUCGUG